rnacentral:rRNA from 1 species
GGGGAAUAUUGGACAAUGGGCGCGAGCCUGAUCCAGCCAUGCCGCGUGAGUGAUGAAGGCCCUAGGGUUGUAAAGCUCUUUCGGCGGGGACGAUAAUGACGGUACCCGCAGAAGAAGCCCCGGCUAACUUCGUGCCAGCAGCCGCGGUAAUACGAAGGGGGCUAGCGUUGUUCGGAAUCACUGGGCGUAAAGCGCACGUAGGCGGAUUGUUAAGUCAGGGGUGAAAUCCCGAGGCUCAACCUCGGAACUGCCUUUGAUACUGGCAAUCUUCGAGUCCGGGAGAGGUGAGUGGAACUCCGAGUGUAGAGGUGAAAUUCGUAGAUAUUCGGAAGAACACCAGUGGCGAAGGCGGCUCACUGGCCCGGUACUGACGCUGAGGUGCGAAAGCGUGGGGAGCAAAC